rnacentral:rRNA from 1 species
AGUGAACGCUGGCGGUAGGCCUAACACAUGCAAGUCGAACGGCAGCACAGUAAGAGCUUGCUCUUACGGGUGGUGAGUGGCGGACGGGUGAGGAAUACAUCGGAAUCUACUUUUUCGUGGGGGAUAACGUAGGGAAACUUACGCUAAUACCGCAUACGACCUACGGGUGAAAGCAGGGGAUCUUCGGACCUUGCGCGAUUGAAUGAGCCGAUGUCGGAUUAGCUAGUUGGCGGGGUAAAGGCCCACCAAGGCGACGAUCCGUAGCUGGUCUGAGAGGAUGAUCAGCCACACUGGAACUGAGACACGGUCCAGACUCCUACGGGAGGCAGCAGUGGGGAAUAUUGGACAAUGGGCGCAAGCCUGAUCCAGCCAUACCGCGUGGGUGAAGAAGGCCUUCGGGUUGUAAAGCCCUUUUGUUGGGAAAGAAAAGCAGCAGGUUAAUACCUCGCUGUUCUGACGGUACCCAAAGAAUAAGCACCGGCUAACUUCGUG